rnacentral:tRNA from 1 species
GCCUGUAGCUCAGUUGGAUAGAGCAACGGACUUCUAAUCCGUAGGUCGCAGGUUCGAAUCCUGCUAGGCGCG